GCGAAACGAAGAAUGCAAUGAUAAUGGGGUACCCCAGUCCCAUAAGUAACAAUAGGAUACCCCCCGACACCCAAAUCAUACAUGAGUCACCCCCAGGAGCAGGUGGAGGACUUCGGUCAAUCAGCCCCGCUCUCCAUAAUCUACUCUCCUCCAGCACAUUGAGUAGGCGGAGGACUUCGGUCAAUCAGCCCCGCUCUCCAUAAUCGGCUCUCAUCUAGCACAUCACUACCCCUCUGUGCACCUUGAAGCCUGUCCACAAACUUCUUCACCUCUCUCCCCACCUCCUGAACUGGGCAUGAUCCUUUAGCCCAUGUCACACCUGCGAAAGCAUAAAGAACUCAAGGUUAGCGAGACAUUCAGGCGAAAGAUUCUGAUAAAGAACCAUAAGUAAGGGAGAUACUUACAGUCUACAUUGAAGGAAUGGGGAACCUCCACGGGGUCGCCAUUCUCACCUAGAGUCUCUGUCCCCCACCUACCCUCAGCGACAAACCAUCCCUUUCGGUAACCCUUCUUCAAGGCGGGGUUCCCCUCAACGAUGUGGCCAUGAUCACCCCAGGGGGAGAAGUAAGCAAUGCCGGGACCCUUAGGCUUCUUGAAUUGGUAAAGGCCCCUCAACUCCCGAACAGAAAUGUCGCGCUUCACGACCUCCAACCAUAACACAUGUAAGCCUGUC
rnacentral:lncRNA from 1 species